CCUGGUGGCUCAGAGUUUAAAGCGUCUGCCUGCAAUGCAGGAGACCUGGGUUCAAUCCCUGGGUCAGGA
rnacentral:tRNA from 1 species